AGCAGCCGCGGUAAUUCCAGCUCCAAUAGCGUAUAUUAAAGUUGCUGCAGUUAAAAAGCUCGUAGUUGAAUUUCGGGACUAAUAUGUCGGUCGUGCCUCGGUACGUACUGGCUUAUUGGUUUCUCCUUUCUGAAGAACCAUGAUGUCAUUUAUUUGGUGUCGUGGGGAAUCAGGACUGUUACUUUGAAAAAAUUAGAGUGUUUAAAGCAGGCUUACGCUUGAAUACAUUAGCAUGGAAUAAUGAAAUAGGACGUUUGAUUCUAUUUUGUUGGUUUCUAGGAUUGACGUAAUGAUUAAUAGGGAUAGUUGGGGGCAUUAGUAUUCAAUUGUCAGAGGUGAAAUUCUUGGAUUUAUUGAAGACUAACUACUGCGAAAGCAUUUGCCAAGGAUGUUUUCAUUAAUCAAGAACGAAAGUUAGGGGAUCGAAGACGAUCAGAUACCGUCGUAGUCUUAACCAUAAACUAUGCCGACUAGGGAUCGGAUGAUGUUAAUUUUUUAAUGACUCAUUCGGCGCCUUACG
rnacentral:misc_RNA from 1 species